rnacentral:pre_miRNA from 1 species
GUACUACUCCCUCCGAUCCAUAUUAAUUGUCGAAAUGUUACAUGUAUCUAGACGCUUUUUAGGCAUAGAUACAUCCAUAUUUGAGCAAAUUUGAGACAAUUAAUAUGAAUCGGAGUGAGUAACUU